rnacentral:rRNA from 1 species
CCGUGGGCGCUGGAAAUUUGAGAGGAUCUGCUCCUAGUACGAGAGGACCAGAGUGGACGAACCUCUGGUGUACCGGUUGUGACGCCAGUCGCAUCGCCGGGUAGCUAUGUUCGGAAGGGAUAACCGCUGAAAGCAUCUAAGCGGGAAGCCUACCUCAAGAUAAGAUUUCCCUAGGACUUUAUGUCCUCUAAAGAGCCGUUCGAGACUAGGACGUUGAUAGGUUGGAUGUGGAAGCAUAGUGAUAUGUGAAGCUGACCAAUACUAAUUGCUCGUGAGGCUUGACUAUACAACACCCAAGCAGUUG